CCUACGGGAGGCAGCAGUGGGGGAUAUUGCACAAUGGGGGAAACCCUGAUGCAGCGACGCCGCGUGGGUGAAGAAGCGCCUCGGCGCGUAAAGCCCUGUCUGCAGGGAAGAAAAUGACGGUACCUGAAGAUGAAGCUCCGGCUAACUACGUGCCAGCAGCCGCGGUAAUACGUAGGGGGCAAGCGUUAUCCGGAUUUACUGGGUGUAAAGGGGGCGCAGACGGGGUUGCAAGUCAGUAGUGAAAGCCCGGGGCCCAACCCCGGGACUGCUGUUGGAACUGUGAGGCUUGAGUGCAGUAGGGGCAGGCGGAAUUCCUGGUGUAGCGGUGAAAUGCGUAGAUAUCAGGAGGAACACCGAUGGCGAAGGCGGUCUACUGGACUGCAACUGACGUUGAGGCCCGAAAGCGUGGGGAGCAAACAGGAUUAGAUACCCUAGUAGUC
rnacentral:rRNA from 1 species